AAACAAACAAACAAACACAAAGACAAGCCAAAUUUAUAUAUAGAUGUUGAGGAAAGUUGUGAAAUAAUACUACACUAGUCAUGCCCGAACAUUGAUACCAGAAAUAAAGAACAGAUGGAAUAUGUGUAUUCCAGAUUGGGAAGUUAUCCUAGAAGGAAGGGGAGAGGCGGGAAGGCUACAAGGUGUCAAAUCAAGUGAUCGCGUGACGAGAACGAGGAAGAGGUCGUCCUAAAGAGCCAGCUCGGGGUUAAAGGAGUUAAAGAGGUUCCCCGGCAGUAGAUGAGCGUCCUGCCCCAUAAUUUUGUUUUAUUUGAUUUUUGAAUUGUAUUUGUUCCUAUUUUGAAAUAUUUUUUUUGCAUAUUUGAUACAUUAAUACAAACUGAUAAAAACGUUUGAAUAUUUUAAGGGAUAAAAUUGUUAUUUCGAAGGGAAACUUGAAAGCAGAGCUAGUAACAGCAAAUAUGUUUUGGUAGCCAAAAAAAGGAGAAUGAUUUAAAAUAUACUCCUCCCCUCCCCCGCACCGCCUAUCCUACCCACCCCCCUCUGAGGUACGUCAUAACAUUUGUUUUGUUAUUACAUUUUUUAAAUAAUGUAUGCAAAGAGUGAGUCAUAUUGUAUUAAAUUUUCUCCGGGUUUCAAUGUGCAUAAAAUCCUAAGCUCAAAAUUUAUAAGAAUAUUUUAGGUUCUUUUUCAAUUUUAAUCCCUUCAAACAUAUUUUUAUGUUGAUUUAAUAUUUAUUGGCUGAUGUUUAUUCCAAUUUGACGUAUCUUACUUUAAAGUUCCAACAAAGCAGUAGAAUUAGGUGAACAAGUGUUCAUUUUAUCUUAGCUUCUUAAUUGACAACUUCAUUUUAAAAUAAAAUGUCCGGAAGUAUACAUCUUCUUCUUUCUCUUGUUGUCCUAGUUAUGAUAUUAGAUGUUUAUGGUGAUAAAGAUAUAAAGAGUUCGAUUGAUCAGAACAGUGGAGGGAGAGAAUUCGAGGAAUAUAAAGAUGAUAAACCUAAACAAGUAUCUAAAAUCAAAAAACGGUUAAAGAAUAAUAAGAACCAAAAGAAAGCGAACAGUAAUAUAGUUAACAAGAAAUACUCUUCUAAAAAUAGGAGGAAGAACUCCAUUAUAUCUAGGAACAAGAGCUCCACUGAAUCUAGAAAGAAAAACUCCACAAGAUCUAGAAAAAAGGGAUCUGCUAAAUCUCGAAAGAAAAAAACCAGUAAAACAAAAUUAAAAGUGACCAAAUCUUUAAAAAAACCGAAAUCUAAGAAGAAUUCGGAUCGGAAACAAAGGAGAAAAGAGAAGUUUGAUAAGUGGACUAAUACCCUGGAUGGAAUAUGGAAAAAUAUUAAACAGGAUAAGAGCUGUGAGUGCGGUCUACCUAAUCCUGGAAAAAAAGGAACAAGGAUUGUAAAUGGAGUUGAAGCAGCUCCUCACUCUCUUCCCUGGCAGAUAUCUAUGCAGGAUAAUACAGGAUUCUGGUAUUGCGGAGGCUCUGUCUUAUGUGAUGAAUGGAUUUUGACAGCAGCACAUUGUGUUCAUAGCAACGGCGUAACAGACGACCCGUCAACCGUGUUUAUAAGUAUCGGAGAUCAUGACGUAUCAGAUCCUAACGAUUCAAAAUCAGAAAUUAUGCCUGUCAGCAAAAUUAUCCCUCAUGAAAAGUAUGAUGAAGAUACAACAAACAAUGAUAUUGCGUUAAUUCGGUUAAAGAAAAAAAUUGACUUCAAAAAAUUCAAGGGUACAGUUCGACCGAUUUGUUUACCUGAAUCACCUAAGAGGUACUAUGGCGAAACUGUAAAGGUGUCUGGUUGGGGUCUUCUAUACGAUGGAGGGGAUAAAUUAAUGAUAGGGCGGCAGCAAGGUACUUCGCGAAGUAGACGUCAGCGUAAUCCCCAUGAAGAGUUGUAGAGAGAAUUUUAAGUACAAAAGAGAAUGGAUUACAAAUAAAAUGCUAUGCGCAAAUGCACCAAAUCAAGAUUCUUGUCAGGGAGAUUCGGGGGGACCUCUUGUUCA
rnacentral:misc_RNA from 1 species